AUUUGAUUAUUUUGCCCUUCAGUUCUGAGUUUGUGCACCAAGCACUUGAUCCAAACUCUGUUGAAGUUAAUGGAAGACUGCAGUUAAUUUCAAUUGGCUUUGAAUCAGGCUCCGCAGGAAUAUCAGAUUCAUUUUUCAUGAACUGGCAGGGCAUGUACUUAUAGAGACACUGUCAUAGUUAACCGGCUCACAACUGAACCAACUGUGACUCGUCCUCAGUGCCCAUCCAGUGUGCCUUAAACCCUGUUCUGGAGGAACCACUUCUAGAAACAAGAGACUAGUUCAUUGAGACGUGUCCAUUCCAAGAUUGGCCUCUCUGCUAAGACUGUCAAUAAGAGCAAAUUGCAAUGGAAGAUUUUAUUGAUGUGGCAAUGGACUAGCACCACGGAUUUACUUAACACUAGAUGCUAAACAGUCAUCAGAUGGCAAUGACUUGCAGUCGCUACUGACCUGGCCAGAUUUGAAUAGGUAAAAUAAAGAUGAAAACGCUGGAAUGUUUUAUCA
rnacentral:lncRNA from 1 species